GGCUCCGUAGCUUAGCUCGGUAGAGCGAUUGAUUCGUAAAAUUCUUCCCGAAUCGGGAGAUCUGUAAGAUCAAUAGGUCGGGGGUUCAAGUCCCCCUGGAGCCU
rnacentral:tRNA from 1 species